rnacentral:sRNA from 1 species
GGUAAUUACAUCUUUGGAAUUAUAAAUACCUCACUUUGAUACAAAAUAAAAGAUAACACAUCUUUCAAUGCCAUCCAACAAAUCCAAAUUGUGAUGCCAAAGUUCAAAAUAGAAAAUUUAAUAAUAAAAUUCCCUUGUUAUGUGUUUGUGAGUGCUGUAUUCAAAGUGUUAAAGAAAUUAUUUAAGAUGCAUAUCAAAUGAAUUAUUUUUAUAUUCAAUUUAUACAACGACGGAAAAUAUUUCAUUAUUAUCGAGAAGAGUAAAACCGCGUUUUGUACGAAAAUCUAUAAUAAUUAAUUAGUAUAUGAUUAAAGAAUUAAGAAAUCUUAAGUUAGUGUAGUGAAUUAAAAAGUCAUGCAUUCAAAAAAUAAGAAAAGAAAAACAAUUGAAGAAAUGGAUGCCUACACAUCAACUCAUUUGUAUACGAAGGAUCAUAUCGACAUCUUGAACACCAGAUUGUAGAUAUGGAAUAUCUGCAUAACACAUCUUGUCCGCCUACCUACAUCUAUUAUUUAUGAAUGAAUCACUAAGGCAUUUCUAUUGAAUGAAGAAUGAUUAGCAAAAGGAAAUGCUUGGAGACAACCUUAACCUACAACACAUAAAACUUAAUUAACGUCAAAAACGUUCUUCGAUUAUCUUUUAUUAAACACAGCUACAAAUAUAGAUUGCAAUUCAGUGAAACUAUAGAAGACUAAAAACAAAUUUUUGUGUAUAUUUCAGUGUAU